rnacentral:lncRNA from 1 species
GUACGUGGAGAUCUGAGUCAGGUGGAGAAUACAUCGACGACUACUAACUCGAUCCUCCUGAUGGCUCAGUCGACGUACGGCGACGAAGCAUCCCUACUACAUCUUCUACACCAGAGACACACACCGCGGGAGACGAUACUAUGCUCGGGAUUGGAACCUCCGGGAUGCUACAGGAUGAUCUAUGCUCCUAGCAGCCUCGGAGCUACAACAUUGGAAUCUGGCGACUUGUCCUCCUUGAGUUACAGGCACGAUGGGUGUCUCGCCACUCGCGUUGAUACAUCACUAAUCACACAACCCAACAAUUCUCACAACAAGCCAACAUCACAAUUCACACAAACAAUAUGAUAUAUAGAAGUAAGCUGUCAAAAGAAAAGAAAAAAUGUAUACAAGCCACACAACAAAUGCUCACCCGUUCCAACACCGACGAAGCAACAACGCCACCAGUCCCCUAAAAUAAUUACUUUUCCCCAUGAAAUUUGUGAUAUUAUUGUUCCACGAUGUUAAGCAUUCAAAAUAAAGAAUUUACAAAAAAAAAG